CUCUUUCCAGCCGCCCUGUGGGGAAGGUGUCUUGCUUCCCCUUCACCUUCCACCAUCAGUGUAAGUUUCCUGAGGAUUCCCCAGCCGUGCUGAACUAGAUGUGGUCUCACUGUGUUGCCUAGGCUAGUCUCAAACUCCUGGCCUCAAACUAUCAUCCCACCUUAGCCUCCCAAAGUGCCGGGAUCACAAAUUUCUUCCACCGGUUGUGAUUUUGUCCCAGGAGAAUGUGUGCACACGGUGGCCACCAGAGGGAGCCCUUCAGCGACAGAGGAUGAGAGCUGCAGGAUGGUCAGAGGAAACCCAAUCCACAUUGGAACAAGGCUUCUUAAGACAUGGAUGUAAUUUGGUGGUGCGGAAAAAUCAGAGUGUUCAAAACAGACAAUGGACAAUGUGACACAAAGCCUUGAAAAUCACUUGUUUGUCAGAAAUUGUCUGGUUGUUGCUCUUGGGAAUACUGCAACCAUCACCAAGUGAACAAGACUGGGCAACGCUGUGAGAUAAUGGGAGACAUAUGGCCUUUUACCACUGGUAUGGAAUCAACCACCAGACCUAGGAGUAAUGACAUUUUGACCCAGCUGAGCAGUUAAGUGGGCCCAGACUAGAACUGCUCAGCUGACUCAGAAUUAUCAAAAAUAACAUAUUUUGUUGUUUAAGUCAAAAUGUUUUGGGGCGAUCACGACACAGCAAGAAUUAACUGACACAGUUCCCACUUGUGAUUUCCCUAUAAUAUUCUCUUUUGCUUUAUACCACUGGAUACAUGUUCUGUGCUAUGGUUGUGGCAGAGAAGGAGGUGGUAGUAGUGAAGAUAAGACAAGCAAUUGGGAUCAAGUUGCCCAGCACUACGCAAUCAACUUAUUUACUUUGUAUUGAGAGGGAAGGAAAUAUUAAAUCAAUUGUGGCUAAACACAGUCUACACUUAAUAGCAAAUAUUUAUGUUGUAGAUAAAAUAUUUCUUGGUGACAGCUUUUUACUGAAGAGAAUGUUAUUGAAGAUCUUUUCUUCUAUUAUUUAAAUAUACUGCCUAGCUUAUUUUGUAAAACUUCUUGGAAAGAACCUUAAUUACUUCCCAUGCUAAACUUGUUUGGCAAUGUAAGCCUCAUUAAAGAAUAGAUAUUAAAGAACAUUUCUAUUAUGCUUCCUCCAAAUCAUUUGGUCUAAUCCUCUUCUAACCAUAAAACAUCUAAUAUAAAUGCAAAUAUUUGUUAUUACUAAUAACUGUGGAUAGACCCUAUUUAAUAAAUGGCAGGCAUUGCCAAGAAAAUUGUGGCGAGCUCGUAAAUUCAAACAUAGCUGACUUCCAUCAAUCAAAAAUAAAUUGGCUAUGUUUAUCAUAAAGAAAACAAAAGCCCAUUUAAAACACACAAUACUUAAUGAGUUAUAGACUUUAUAUUUGUGAUUGUAUGGGACAACUCAUUCAGACCCCAAAUGCCAGGCUUCUUUCUUCUUAGUCUACUCUUAGUCUACUUAGUCUGCUUGUCUUUGACCAAACAGCAUUAACCCUGCAUAUGGAAAGAACAUAAGGCUUAGUCAGAAGAAUGCUGUUUGAUUCUCAGUACUAGAAUGAACCAGCUAUGUACUGUAGAAUAAUUAGACAACAUAAUACAUUGACAAACAAAUUUUUUUCUUAACUCUAAAUAGCAACUGUUGAACAUUUGCUAUGUGCUGGGCACUGGUAAGUAAACUUUAUAUAAGAUAUCUCAUUAAUUCUCACAGACAACCUUAGAUUUAGACUUUAUCAUUAGUCUCACUUUACAUAUCAAGAAACUAAGGUUUGGAGGGUUUAGUUUACUUGUGUAAAAUGCUAAACCUUGUGAUUUGUAGAGCUGGGAUUCUGAACAGAUCUGGCUCCAGAGUUUGAAUUUGUAAUUAUUCUCCCAUUGUCCCUCACUAUACAUAUUACCUCCAUUUCAGUUUUCUUGGGAAUCGUCUUCAUUUCAAUAUCAAAGGAUUAUAAAAAGGAUAAAAUAAGGAUGCAUAUGCAAGAGUUUAUGUACUUUAAAUAUUAGUAUUCAUUUAACAAAUAAUUAUAAGCAGAUACUAUGCAAGUAGCAAUUGCCACACUGAUUUCAACCAACCCAGCAUAUGGAUACAAACUGUGUAUGGAUACAGAAAGUGUUCUAAAAGUCAGAACUGUCCUCUCUGACACAGAAAUUAAAAAGUUAGCAAUGUAUCCAAAAUAUUUUCAUUACUUUAAUAUCUCCGUCAAUCAUCUGUGAACGUACAUGAAUAUUUUCGAAUUAGUAUGUGUAUCUUCAUUUUGUACCUCUGGGGUAACAAGUUCCAUAUGUUUGUUCUCAACUGAGUUGUCCUUUUGUUUGUAGCUUGAAGUCUCUCUCAAAUUUCAGACAAUGUUUCUGGUAUUCUGAAAAGUUAUGAAUGAGUUUAUAUUCAACUUAUUUAGACCCUUCAUGAUUGCAUAAGCUCCAAUUAUAUCUUUCUAUGUCUUUGUCUUCUCAUGGUCCCAAUCUGAAGAGUCAUGAUAUGUUUGAGACUCUUUUUAGAAAUAUUAAAUAUUGUCU
rnacentral:lncRNA from 1 species